GAUGAACGCUGGCGGCGUGCCUAAUACAUGCAAGUCGAGCGAACGGACGAGAAGCUUGCUUCUCUGAUGUUAGCGGCGGACGGGUGAGUAACACGUGGAUAACCUACCUAUAAGACUGGGAUAACUUCGGGAAACCGGAGCUAAUACCGGAUAAUAUUUUGAACCGCAUGGUUCAAAAGUGAAAGACGGUCUUGCUGUCACUUAUAGAUGGAUCCGCGCUGCAUUAGCUAGUUGGUAAGGUAACGGCUUACCAAGGCAACGAUGCAUAGCCGACCUGAGAGGGUGAUCGGCCACACUGGAACUGAGACACGGUCCAGACUCCUACGGGAGGCAGCAGUAGGGAAUCUUCCGCAAUGGGCGAAAGCCUGACGGAGCACCGCCGCGUGAGUGAUGAAGGUCUUCGGAUCGUAAAACUCUGUUAUUAGGGAAGAACAUAUGUGUAAGUACCUGUGCACAUCUUGGCGGUACCUAAUCAGAGAGCCACGGCUAACUACG
rnacentral:rRNA from 1 species